GGAGGGUAGGCGAAUUGGCUAGCGGCCUGAUUGGAAUUCAGGUGCCCCGCAAGGGGUUGCGGGUUCGAGUCCCGUGCCCUCCGC
rnacentral:tRNA from 1 species